CAGCCGCCGCGGUAAUACGUAGGUGGCAAGCGUUGUCCGGAAUUAUUGGGCGUAAAGGGCUCGCAGGCGGUUUCUUAAGUCUGAUGUGAAAGCCCCCGGCUCAACCGGGGAGGGUCAUUGGAAACUGGGAAACUUGAGUGCAGAUGAGGAGAGUGGAAUUCCACGUGUAGCGGUGAAAUGCGUAGAGAUGUGGAGGAACACCAGUGGCGAAGGCGACUCUCUGGUCUGUAACUGACGCUGAGGAGCGAAAGCGUGGGGAGCGAACAGGAUUAGAUACCCCCGUAGUCCCUGUCUCUUAUAC
rnacentral:rRNA from 1 species